rnacentral:rRNA from 1 species
UACAGAGGUCCCGAGCGUUGUUCGGAUUCAUUGGGCGUAAAGGGUGCGUAGGCGGCGGGGCAAGUCUGAUGUGAAAUCCCGGGGCUCAACCCCGGAACUGCAUUGGAUACUGCCUUGCUAGAGUACUGGAGAGGGAACUGGAAUUUACGGUGUAGCAGUGAAAUGCGUAGAGAUGUGGAGGAACACCGAUGGCGAAGGCAGCUCGCUGGGACGGUACUGACGCUGAGGCGCGAAAGCGUGGGGAGCAAACAGG